UGUGCAUACUGUGGUUGCUAUGUAUUGUGUAUGUAAUUUUGGGGGUGAAUCAUUAAGAAAGAAAAAUGGAGGAGUUUUUGUAUUUCACUGUGUUUGUAGUGUGUAGAAGACCAUAGAAUGGAGAUCCCCCGACUAUUCGUUACUGUCCAUAGGAAGAUUUAAAGGGUAUAUCCCUUGGUGAUGCCUUUUCUGUGUAUCCCCAU
rnacentral:lncRNA from 1 species